rnacentral:rRNA from 1 species
UACGUAGGGGGCGAGCGUUGUCCGGAUUCAUUGGGCGUAAAGAGCUCGUAGGCGGUUCGGUAAGUCAGGUGUGAAAACUCCAGGCUCAACUUGGAGACGCCACCUGAUACUGUCGUGACUAGAGUCCGGUAGGGGAGCAUGGAAUUCCUGGUGUAGCGGUGAAAUGCGCAGAUAUCAGGAGGAACACCAGCGGCGAAGGCGGUGCUCUGGGCCGGAACUGACGCUGAGGAGCGAAAGCGUGGGGAGCGAACAGGAUUAGAAACCCCAGUAGUCC